UACGUAGGGACCAAGCGUUGUUCGGAUUUACUGGGCGUAAAGGGCGCGUAGGCGGCGCUGUAAGUCACUUGUGAAAUCUCCGGGCUUAACUCGGAACGGUCAAGUGAUACUGCAGUGCUAGAGUGCAGAAAGGGCAAUCGGAAUUCUUGGUGUAGCGGUGAAAUGCGUAGAUAUCAAGAGGAACACCUGAGGCGAAGGCGGGUUGCUAGGCUGACACUGACGCUGACAGCGCGAAAGCCAGGGGA
rnacentral:rRNA from 1 species